GACGAACGCUGGCGGCGUGCCUAAUACAUGCAAGUAGAACGCUGAAGAGAGGAGCUUACUCUUCUUGGAUGAGUUGCGAACGGGUGAGUAACGCGUAGGUAACCUGCCUUGUAGCGGGGGAUAACUAUUGGAAACGAUAGCUAAUACCGCAUAACAAUGGAUGACACAUGUCAUUUAUUUGAAAGGGGCAAUUGCUCCACUACAAGAUGGACCUGCGUUGUAUUAGCUAGUAGGUGAGGUAAUGGCUCACCUAGGCGACGAUACAUAGCCGACCUGAGAGGGUGAUCGGCCACACUGGGACUGAGACACGGCCCAGACUCCUACGGGAGGCCGCAGUAGGGAAUCUUCGGCAAUGGGGGCAACCCUGACCGAGCAACGCCGCGUGAGUGAAGAAGGGUUUCGGAUCGUAAAGCUCUGUUGUAAGUCAAGAACGGGUGUGAGAGUGGAAAGUUCACACUGUGACGGUAGCUUACCAGAAAGGGACGGCUAACUACGUG
rnacentral:rRNA from 1 species